AUUGAACGCUGGCGGAAUGCUUUACACAUGCAAGUCGAACGGUAGAGGGAGCAAUCCUGGUGGCGAGUGGCGAACGGGUGAGUAAUGUAUCGGAACGUGCCCAGUCGUGGGGGAUAACGUAGCGAAAGCUACGCUAAUACCGCAUACGAUCUAUGGAUGAAAGCGGGGGACCGUAAGGCCUCGCGCGAUUGGAGCGGCCGAUAUCAGAUUAGGUAGUUGGUGGGGUAAAGGCCUACCAAGCCGACGAUCUGUAGCUGGUCUGAGAGGACGACCAGCCACACUGGGACUGAGACACGGCCCAGACUCCUACGGGAGGCAGCAGUGGGGAAUUUUGGACAAUGGGCGCAAGCCUGAUCCAGUAAUGCCGCGUGCAGGAUGAAGGCCUUCGGGUUGUAAACUGCUUUUGUACGGAGCGAAAAGGCUCUCUCUAAUACAGGGGGCUCAUGACGGUACCGUAAGAAUAAGCACCGGCUAACUACGUGCCAGCAGCCGCCGCCG
rnacentral:rRNA from 1 species